rnacentral:tRNA from 1 species
GGAGGUAUAGCAUAAAUAAUGCAUUUCACUUACUCUGAUAAAGAUCUUUAGGAUAAAGUACUUCUU